UGCGACAUCACUGCAGUCUCUCGAUAUUCUUUUAGCACAUUGUCUGUCACGGUGACCAUCGGUAACUCACGAGUUUUACUAAAUUUUGUAGAAUGGUUAAAAUAAAAUAAAUUUCAUGAAUUAAAAAAUUGUCAACAAUGUGAAUAACUUACAUAACGUUAUCAGAAAAAAAAUGAAUACCUGUGGUGGAUCAAAAAUUUUAGAGAUUCCUGAGGCCCAAACUAAAAAGAAUUCUGAAACAAAUAAUACUAUUAAGGACUGGUAUAAGAAGUGACUAGACAGACAGUCAUGCCAGUAAAAUAUUUCAAAAACAGAGAGCCGAUCAUACAAAGAAUGCUCAAGUAUCCUAAGCGCAAAAUCGUUGAAGCCCACUGGCUCGCGUCACAAUAUAGAAGAGAACUUUAUUUACCGCAUUCUUAAGUACCAUCCAAGUUUUCUUACUAGAACCGAGCGUGACAAAAGUCAGACUCCAAGCAUCCGAGACUUCGCAUUUCCUUGCACAUGGCAUAAAUAGAAAACAAAAAGAAUUCCUUGAAAAUUUAUUUAAUGAUUAUAUGUAUAUCUGAUUUGGAUUAUUGCCCUACCCAAUUUUAAAACUGCCUUUUCCUAAAACGUUUCUAGCUGCAUACAUAUGCAAUUUAAAGGAAAGUUAAAAAAUUUUUUUAUUUUUAAUAGUUAGAAAGCAAAUAACAGUUUAUAAAACAACAAUAAUAUGUAUAUAUAACAGUAAAAGUAGGAUAAAUUUCCGAAUAUUGAGAUCUAAGCCAGACACUUAUCCAAUGUACGUAUUGAUUCUAUAGUCUUCACUAACAAAAAAUUUGUAUAUAAUACUUGUUUUUAUAUUGUGAAAUUUUACAUACAUAUUUAACAUAAAUUAUUAUAAGAUACAUUUGCAUAAUUCAGGAAUUUUUAAUUCAUAUGCACAUUUAAGUCGAUGUCAUGCCAUACAUAAUGUAAAAGUAUGUAUUAAGUACCGAUUCAAAUACGCGUCGUACAUAAAUAGUGAAUAUGUAAGAACUACACGCGCAGGAUCAGAUAAAAAUGGCAAAGUGUAGAGCAACUGCUGGUAAAGUGUAGAUAUACAUUUGUUCAUGUUGAUGAUAGAAGAAACCAUAAAGCGGUUUGGUUGCCACCAGAGAACGUUAAUUCUUUCGCUACGGGCAGAUUGCCGCGGCGCGGCACUCCCGCUGAACGAGCCGUCACGCCAAAACAAUGCUUGGUACGCGAGAAAGAUCGUCAGCGGCCGCGUUUACGCCUCACUGCAAAACGAGCUGCUCUGACGGUAUUUUUCGAAGAAGAAAACUUUCCUCAAAACUGGGUAUUUAUAACUUCUUAACAUACUCACUUUUAAUUACAAUUUGGAAAAAAAUAACAUUACAGAAUAUAAUAAUAUGAUAUAAUAUAAUAUAAUUGUAUGAUACUAAUAGCUUUUAAUAAUGGUAUUGCGUGUGGUAUUUUUCGAAACAUGGUGUAACACAUAGGCCAACAUCACAAAUCUGGCACUGGUAUCACGAUUCGCUCCACAGUUCCCAUCAAUCGAUUAUAAUCGGCAACAUAUUAAAUCUUCUUUUGCAUGCGAUAAUGACGUUUCAUGUUAACAAAUUCUUCAUUGUGAAAAGAGGACAACAUAUACACUGCCCUCUUGUUAAAUCAUUUUAUUGUUAAUAAAAGGCUUAAGGAUGUACAAUAUUCGUCGUAUGUACAACCGUCGUAUGUAGUCACCCGUAGUAGCGAAAGGGUUAAAUAUCAUAGAGGGAGGGGUGAGUAUACGAUACACUGUUGCCACUCCUAUCUGUUAUUACGCGCGCGGAUUUCCACUAAAGUGAAUGGUCGUGUAGUAUACGAUAUGGGUUGAGAUGUUGUUGACAUAGAAAGAAUGGCACGCGUGGAAAAGGAAGAGAGUCGGAUUGAUCAAAAGAAACAUAUCAACGAGACAAUAGUAAUGCAAUGACGAAAUUUGCAUUUUUCAUUUCUAUUGAAUUUAUCAAUGUAAUUGUGAGAUUUUCUUGAUUAAACUAAGACAAAACAUGACAUAAUUUAGAACAUAUUUGCUUAUUUAAUAAAUGAUAAUAAUUUAUUCUUUUUCGUCUAUUAGAUGAGUUAAUGUGAUUUAAACCAUGUCGUGUCUGAUCCUAUUUUAAUCAGUCAAACUUCACAAAUACGUUAGUAAAAAAAAUAAAUAAGGAAAUAAAGAAGUUUCUUAUUGAGUUAGUAAUAUCUCCUCGAUAUUUGAAUUCGGAUCAGUUACAAUAGUCAACCGACGAGCUGCGUAGUCACCGGGGCAUGUGAAAGGUCCACUCAGUAGUUAGGAUAUCUACCGGACAUUUACGGUGUUAUAUAGGCCGUUUAGGGCAAUUAUCCAACUUUACCUGGAUGUUUCACAACAGAAAUUUCAGACUUCGAACUAAACCUCAAUUAAAACUUUGAACUUUGAAUUAAACAAGAGCUUUGUAAAACAUUUUAGAUUUUGGUCUUUAAGAACUGUGUAAAUUAUUAGAAUCUUUAAACUUUGUAUUUAUAAAUAAAUAUUGUAUAUUCAUUAAAUA